rnacentral:lncRNA from 1 species
ACAGAAGACGAAGAGCUGGAAUAGAGCUCGCCUCGGCUCUGCUGGCCUUGGCUGCAGCUCUUCCAGAAACCCGGGGCGCCCACAGAAGAAUCUCUUACCUGGCUCUCUCUUCAGGGAUGACAUCAUCGGCUCACACCAGUCUUCCAGGACCACCUUCUGGAUGCCAAGGCUGCUGCUCGAGUACCUGCUGUGCACCUCUACCUCCUGAGCCAAGGAGCACGGAUUCCAGGAACCCACUACCAUACAGAGCAACUCCUUGUGGACCCCCCUGGGAUCAGGACAGCGAGGGACAAGCGACAAAGAGGAUCAUCAGUGGCCAGCUAGUUUCUCUGGGGUUCAAACCUUGAACCAGUGCCCUAGUGAGGGGGCACUGGCCAUGGCCCUUGACCUUUGCUCUGCUUGUGUCUUGAGUCUGAGCCCUUUCCUGUACAUCUGUGCUCGUGUUCAUCUGCUAGUGAACUGGAGUGCUGCCCUCCCCGAGGAGGGUCGUCCCUUGUGACUGAUCAUGCUGUCCUAACAAUGUCCUGAGCAAAAGGGUCCCUUUGGGAACCUCUCAGGAGGGGGACCCGGGUCAGGGGCGACCAGCAUCUUGCUGGCAACUCCGUGGGUGGGGUGGGGUGGGGUGCUUCCUUCUGGAAUGAGCACGUGGCUGACCCCCCAAGGCAUGUCCCCUCCCCCUCCUCCACCCACCUUCUCGGAGAUGUCCCUUUUGGGGUAGUGGGGACAUUAGGAGCAACCUCCUAGGGUUGUUGUGAGAAUUAAAUGAACUGCAGCAGCCUGAGGCAGGGCUGGGCAGAGACCUCAGCACAUGUUUGUUGAAAGGUUUGCAGGUGGAUCUAGUCCUCCCGUUCAUGGCUCAUGUGUCUCAACCAUUCUCUCGCAGACUCCUGCAGCCCCUAUGCCCAGGGCUCUCCUUGCGCCAGCCCCGGCUUCUCGAGGCCUGUCUACACUCGCUGCUUUCCUUCCUCACCUCCAAUUUCCCCUCCAACCCACUGCUUCCUGACUCGCUCUUCUCCAUCGAACGGCUCUCGCUCAGGUUCCACGAGCUGCCCAUCUCCACAGAAGAGCAGGUGAGGCCGCUGCCUGUCUUCAUGCGUCUGGCAUUGCCCACCGGCCAUGCCGGCUGAAGAAAAGAAGACUGAGGACCCCAGGAUGCCCAGCGCGAGGACCCCAGGAAGCCCAGCGCGAGGACUCCACCCACGACGCCCAGCGCGAGGACUUCACGCACAACACGUUGCAACCCUCCUGGAUUAGGCCAAAGCCAUCAUCUGGAAUCCUGCGUGGGACCCUGGACACACGGACACAGACACCUGCCCCCAGGACCCUCCAACUGUAAAUCGAUUGGAAGCGCCCUUGUGAGCUGGGGCCUUCAAAGGGCUGAGGAGAAAAUGCAGGCCGAGAGACCAGCUUCUCAAAUAGGCUUCAAGCCUCCAUGACCUGAGCUCACCCCCUGGAAAUGUCUGGAAAACAUAAUGGGCAGGUUUUCUGUCUUCAAAGUUUCCAUCAAAACCUCUUCAAGUUCUUUAUUGUUUAGGACUGAGACACUUGGGGACAGUAAUGGGGACUUUCUUUUGUAUCUGUCUUGAAAGGCCAAAAUAUUUUUAUAUUGCUGUAGACAAAGCCACCUAUUUACAAAUGGACUCUUGUUCCGUCGUUUCCCACCAGGAAGACCGUACUAUGUUUGUGUCUCUAUGUAUUCUGGGGUCUUGAAACAGGUUUCUCAUGGGGAUGGCCAUUCACUAGAGCCCAGAGGGGCAGAAGGGGAAGUGUCUACCCUGCCAAGGGGGUCUGGGGAAGGAGGGGGGCUAGUCUCAGAUUUGCUCCUUGUAUGUCUAGGGUAAACCCUGGGAGAAUCUGGUGGUAAAAGAACAUAUGCUGUGUUUGCCCCA